CCAAUAGCGUAUAUUAAAGUUGUUGCAGUUAAAAAGCUCGUAGUUGAAUUUCGGGAUUGACAUGUUGGUCGUGCCUUAAGGGGUAUGAACUGGCAUUGUCGAUUUCUCACCUUCUGGAGAAUCACGAUGCUCUUAAUUGGGUGUCGUGUGGAUCCAGGACCUUUACCUUGAAAAAAUUAGAGUGUUUAAAGCAGGCAUUUUGCUCGAAUACAUUAGCAUG
rnacentral:rRNA from 1 species